CCUAGGAUAGAUAAGCUGUAUCACUAAUUGAUAAAAUAUUGGUCCACUUUCAGUACUGUAUUUACUUGGUUAUCAGAAUGUGGUUUUACACUAUUUUUAUUCUAAUCUUUUCAAGCCAAUAUGUUGUCGGUCAAUUUGGAUCGUUCAAACAAGACUUUGGAUAUGUGACUGUGAGAGAAGGUGCUCAUAUGUUUUACUGGUUGUUUUACACCACUGCUGAUGUACCAAAUUACACCGAUAGGCCCCUAGUCGUAUGGCUACAGGGGGGCCCAGGCGGGUCUUCUACGGGCAUAGGCAAUUUCGAAAUAUUAGGUCCACUGGACCUAUCGUUGCAGGAAAGAAAUUAUACUUGGGUCAAAAACUUCAAUGUUCUCUUUGUUGACAAUCCUGUAGGCACUGGUUUUAGUUAUGUCGAUGACCUUCAACAUCUAACUACUACUAACGAUGAAAUAGCUCUAGACUUUGUGAACCUUAUGCGUGGAUUCUACAACGAUCAUCCGGAAUUCCGAGGAGUACCACUUUAUAUUUACGGCCAAUCGUACGGAGGAAAAAUGGCGAUUGAUAUGGGCAUACGUAUGCAUGAGGCGGAGCAAGCUGGUACGAUUGGUUCUAACUUGAGGGGAGUUGCGAUGGGCAAUGCGUGGAUAUCCCCAGUAGACGCUACUCUCACAUGGGGCCCUCUGCUUCUAGCAGCUGGUCUUGUCGACCAAGACGGGCAUGAUGAAAUUCAGAGUCACGCCAGGGAGGCUGAGCGUCUGUUCAAUGAAGGAUUAUACGAACAAUCUACUAUGCAAUGGGCAGCAACACAACAAGCAGUAUUUAGGGGAACCACCAGAGUAGAUUUUUAUAACAUACUCACAAAAAUGCCUGUUCCUAAUUCUAUACCAGAUACAAGUGAUGGAGCUUAUGAAUUCUCAAAGAAUAUGAUGAUCCGAAAUGGUAUUUCGGAACUUUCCUCGGAGACAAGACAAGAAGAAUACAAUCUCAGUGUUUUAAUGAACACUUUAGUUAAAGAAGCAUUAAAUAUCCCACAGCAUGUGAUAUGGGGCAGCCAAUCUGGUGCAGUCUUCGAUUAUUUAAGAGGAGACUUUAUGAAACCUGUUACCGCUGGCAUUGAGAAGUUGCUGACCGAAACGGAUAUUAUUUUGACGAAAUAUAAUGGAAAUCUUGACUUGAUUUGCGAUACUCCAGGUACCGAGAGAUAAUCCAGCUGGAACCAACGCGUUCCUUCGCGACAUGACUUCGUUUGGAUAAGGAGUAGACAAUUAAUUAAUAAAAAUCAUGCCUGUAUGCAAUAUAAACGUUGACGUUUAUAAGAAUUCUUUAUAAGGAGGAUUACGUAGGUAUGUGAAGAACAAUAAAGAUAAUGCUCAUUUUAAAA
rnacentral:misc_RNA from 1 species